rnacentral:rRNA from 1 species
GAGUUUGAUCAUGGCUCAGGACGAACGCUGGCGGCGUGCCUAAUACAUGCAAGUAGAACGCUGAAGAGAGGAGCUUGCUCUUCUUGGAUGAGUUGCGAACGGGUGAGUAACGCGUAGGUAACCUGCCUUGUAGCGGGGGAUAACUAUUGGAAACGAUAGCUAAUACCGCAUAACAAUAGGUGACACAUGUCAUUUAUUUGAAAGGGGCAAUUGCUCCACUACAAGAUGGACCUGCGUUGUAUUAGCUAGUAGGUGAGGUAACGGCUCACCUAGGCGACGAUACAUAGCCGACCUGAGAGGGUGAUCGGCCACACUGGGACUGAGACACGGCCCAGACUCCUACGGGAGGCAGCAGUAGGGAAUCUUCGGCAAUGGGGGCAACCCUGACCGAGCAACGCCGCGUGAGUGAAGAAGGUUUUCGGAUCGUAAAGCUCUGUUGUAAGUCAAGAACGAGUGUGAGAGUGGAAAGUUCACACUGUGACGGUAGCUUACCAGAAAGGGACGGCUAACUACGUGCCAGCAACCGCGGUAAUACGUAGGUCCCGAGCGUUGUCCGGAUUUAUUGGGCGUAAAGCGAGCGCAGGCGGUUUGAUAAGUCUGAAGUUAAAGGCUGUGGCUCAACCAUAGUUCGCUUUGGAAACUGUCAAACUUGAGUGCAGAAGGGGAGAGUGGAAUUCCAUGUGUAGCGGUGAAAUGCGUAGAUAUAUGGAGGAACACCGGUGGCGAAAGCGGCUCUCUGGUCUGUAACUGACGCUGAGGCUCGAAAGCGUGGGGAGCGAACAGGAUUAGAUACCCUGGUAGUCCACGCCGUAAACGAUGAGUGCUAGGUGUUGGAUCCUUUCCGGGAUUCAGUGCCGCAGCUAACGCAUUAAGCACUCCGCCUGGGGAGUACGACCGCAAGGUUGAAACUCAAAGGAAUUGACGGGGGCCCGCACAAGCGGUGGAGCAUGUGGUUUAAUUCGAAGCAACGCGAAGAACCUUACCAGGUCUUGACAUCCCGAUGCUAUUUCUAGAGAUAGAAAGUUACUUCGGUACAUCGGUGACAGGUGGUGCAUGGUUGUCGUCAGCUCGUGUCGUGAGAUGUUGGGUUAAGUCCCGCAACGAGCGCAACCCCUAUUGUUAGUUGCCAUCAUUCAGUUGGGCACUCUAGCGAGACUGCCGGUAAUAAACCGGAGGAAGGUGGGGAUGACGUCAAAUCAUCAUGCCCCUUAUGACCUGGGCUACACACGUGCUACAAUGGUUGGUACAACGAGUUGCGAGUCGGUGACGGCAAGCUAAUCUCUUAAAGCCAAUCUCAGUUCGGAUUGUAGGCUGCAACUCGCCUACAUGAAGUCGGAAUCGCUAGUAAUCGCGGAUCAGCACGCCGCGGUGAAUACGUUCCCGGGCCUUGUACACACCGCCCGUC